rnacentral:rRNA from 1 species
UACAGGGGGUGCAAGCGUUGCUCGGAUUUACUGGGCGUAAAGCGUACGCAGACGGUGAGAAAGGUCGGAUGUGAAAGCCCCGGGCUCAACCCUGGAACUGCAUCCGAAACCAUCUCGCUAGAGUAUGAGAGAGGGAAGCAGAAUUCCUGGUGUAGAGGUGAAAUUCGUAGAUAUCAGGAGGAAUACCUGCGGCGAAGGCGGCUUCCUGGCUCAUUACUGACGUUCAGGUACGAAAGCGUGGGUAGCAAACAGG